UGUUCUUUUAAUAAUCGAUUUGUAGAAUAUCGAUUAACAUCUCUCGAUCGAUAACCGGACAUGUCCGGUUCUCGCCUGUGUAAGAAUAAAUUCGCCUCUGACGUCGUUUGAUUUAAUCCCGGAUUUAUUUGUAUCAAUUUUUGCCCGACUUUAUUUGCUUAGUUUUACGUGACUUGGCCUUUAGCCCUUUACCCAUUCUGAAUAUCUUGAUAAAGAAGCCAAUUUCGUUUUGUGCCAGAUUUUUGUAUAAGAAAAUCGAGAUCGCCGGACGCCCGUCACAUUUUGCUGCCAUAACAUUAACAUAAAGCCUACCGGAAAUACUAUGCAGAUCCAUAUUCAAACAAAAAAGGUUGCGAUCGAAAGAUUUUUAAUCUUUAAUCAAUCACUUCUGUUAUUGCUGAUACGAGUUUCGUGGAACUGGGCCCAAUUCUGAAGCGUGUCUAUAUUUUCUCUCUAAUAUGCCGACCAGUAAAAUUAAUCGAAAAUAAGCAAGAGAUCCCGUGGAAAAUCACGACUAAUAGCCGGAAUUUAUAUCAUCUUCUUUAUCUAUGGCGCACUAGUAUACACUACCAGAUAAUCAUGAUAUACGCAACAACCACCUAUCUACGGGGUUGGAGCUGGCCAAACAUGAGGAUGAUGAUAUUAACGUCUAAUUUGCAAACGACAUUUUUUUCAAGGUUAUCGAAAUUGCCCACCCAUAAGUAAUAUUUGGCACUAACAUCAAUAGAGUAUUCAUUUAAAUACUCUAUUACAUUACAUACAUACGAUUUAAAAAUAUAAUAUAGAAAAAUGUGUAAUUCAUCAUUUGGAUACAUUUUAACUAGUUUUUUUUUGUAACUUAGAGUGCCGGUGAUAUUUAUUUUCAAAAUUGAAUGAUGAACAUUCCAAAUAAACCCCAUUGCACCAGAA